GACGAACGCUGGCGGCGUGCUUAACACAUGCAAGUCGAACGGAAAGGCCCUGCUUUUGUGUGGUGCUCGAGUGACGAACGGGUGAGUACCACGUUAGUCAACUGCCCUUGACUUUAGGAUAACAUCAAGCAACUGCGACUACUACCGGAUAGCAGCUCCUGCUGCAUGGUGGGGGUUGGAAAGUUUCGGCGGUUGGGGAUGGACUCGCGGCUUAUCAGCUUGUUGGUGGGGUAGUGGCUUACCAAGGCUUUGACGGGUAGCCGGCCUGAGAGGGUGACCGGCCACAUUGGGACUGAGAUACGGCCCAGACUCCUACGGGAGGCAGCAGUGGGGAAUAUUGCACAAUGGGCGGAAGCCUGAUGCAGCAACGCCGCGUGCGGGAUGACGGCCUUCGGGUUGUAAACCGCUUUCGCCUGUGACGAAGCGUGAGUGACGGUAAUGGGUAAAGAAGCACCGGCUAACUACGUG
rnacentral:rRNA from 1 species